UUGGCCUCACUCUCCAAAUUACACGGGCAACGGUUCCCAUGAUUUGGCUCCAAUUGAGGCCGCGUCUGUAGAGCAUGGCGGCGAUCCAUCACCUCCAUUGGUUCUGUCUUUCUGCAAGACAAAUAAAAAUCCUCACAUUCUUGCUCUCACCGAUGAGGAGGUUCAUAUUGGACUUUACAAUACAAGGCAGAAGUUUCUGGAUUCCUCACAUUACGAAGAAAUGCAGAAAAGCCAAGAUUUCAGAGUGGUUUGCUCAUGAUAGUGCCAUAUUCGAUAUACGUUGGAUCAAGGUGCCUAUUUAUCUCAGCUUUGUAUUUUCACAAGUGUUUCAAUUGGAUUUCAAAGCGCAUUGAACUCAUGAACACGCUGAUUGUCAUUGCAACAUGUUCCAGAAAUUAAAGUACUACCUAGUGUAAUGUAAUUAAUAGAAUGAUUCUUUGGCUGGUGAACUUUUCCUGUAUAAAGUUAAUGCAAAGGCGUGGGCAUUAUUUAUUACGAAAUCUAUGGUGGAUAAUGAGAACAUAUUAAUCAUCCCUGAUAUGAAAUUAUGACGUUUGAAUUAGAAACAGACAUAUUUAAAGUCAGUUAUUUAUUCUGAAUAUAGUGAUAGAACCAUAAACAUCACACGCACCAUGAGAUGACAUUUUUGAAAGUUUCCUUAUUCAUUUUCUGUUAUCUAAAUCUUUUUCUGUCGCUUGCAUUAAAUACAAAACUACCUCUUUUGCAAAGGUCAUAGGAAGUUUCUAUUUUUGCAAUAGCUUCACGGCAUAAAUUUGGUUCACUGAUGAUUCUGAAAGCUAAUUCUAUCAGGAUUACUUUACUCCUGUGAAGGCAAAAUUCUUAGGGUCUACACAAAUGUUUUAUCUAAGGCAUUCUUUCCUUUAUUUAUUCUCAAUUAAUAUCACUUCCACUUUUCGGCUUAUAUUCUUGUUUUAAGGAACACCUCUAACUUUUCUAGCUCUCAACCAUCUUUCGCCGCUUCUAAUUUUUCUACUACUAACUCAAAAUUUGAUGAAAAUAAUUAUUGUUACGAUGAAACUAGAAUGUCAGUUGCUUUCAGGUGUCUGAAAUCACCAUAGGUCCAGUCCGCACACAGUGUAGGACAUUCCAAUAGGAUUUGAACUGAAGAAUAUUACUGGUGUUCUGAGAAACUUUGUAAUGCUUGAAAAUAUAGAUGGUUAGUUCAUCUGGUUGUUUACUACCUUGAGAUAAUGAUAAUUUUAUAUUCGAAGGCCCUUUAGUUUCAGUGUAAUCAAGUUAUGGGACACAAGGCAUCUUAAAGGUCCAGAUACUCAGGCAUGCUCUUAUUCUGAGUCAAGGACAAAGACUAUACAUGUAUAAUGUACUUCAGCUUGAAAAGGCGGCCAUAAAAACUUUCUCUGGAGGUCGAAUUGAAUCAUUUUUUGUGAAGUCGGUAAUUAGUCCUCAUGCAUCUCAUAUGCCGGGUGGUUCUGGUGAUGGAAAUGCCUAUAUAUGGCAGGUAAGUAAACCUCGUGUGGAUCCUAUCACUUUGAAAAGCCACGAUGGAGAAGUCAUUGCAGUUGUUUGGUAAGCCUUUUGUUGCAAGCUUGGAAUGAACUACUGUAGAGGAUUUGAAGGAAUGAUUAAGAUUUUAACUUUAUUCUUUAGUUCUUCGAUACUGUCAAGUGCUAUCCAAUAUUAUCUAGCAAACAGGAUUAUGAUGCUUUAGCCUUCACUGCUACAACUCUAAUCAAAUUUCUCAAAAUAUUUCCUCUGGGUGCCCUUCAGAGAUGGGGAAGGCUACAACCUGUUCUGAUGAUUUCACACCAAAUCAGUUUCUAAUGCCACAUCACAGUUUCCAUGAGCUGUAUCAUCAAUUCCACGAGCCACAUCAUUUUCAUUAACAUAACUAAUGGAGACAUGGCGUGCCGAAACCCAAAUAAAAGUGAAAGACUGUCUCAAAAUUAGAGCAGUUGUGGACGAAACAUUAUCUACAGAGUGACACUGAAAUUUGGCCUUUAAACGUUGUAUCCCCUGUUAACUCGCCCAGUUCAAGUAGAAAGCACGAAGUUGGAAUCCCUGAAUCCAUGGAGAAAAAUUUUCAUUUAAUUCUGAAGUAAAUAAAAAUUUUGAGAAAACUCCAGAAGCUGAAAUGAAAGGCCCUUCAUCUGUGCUAAACCCUCCUUCUCAUUGAAGAGAAAGACAAUCCAAGACUACUUUCUGGUUUCCUGAUAGAACUUCCUCAUUGUUCAACUUAUUUAUUAGUGCAUAGUAUAUGGAUAGAGGAUUAGAUAAUAUUGGACAUAAAAACGACUAGAAAUUUUGUUUAGUUAUACUGUCAACUUAAUGCCUAUUGAGAACUCACGAACUGUAUACCACACAUGCACUCAACAUCUUUUAUUAGUGUAAUUUCAUUGUUGUAUAUAUACUUGUCUCUUUACCAUUUAUGUUAGUGUUGCCUGUUGAGAACUCACGA